GAUGAACGCUAGCGGCAGGCUUAACACAUGCAAGUCGAGGGGUAACGUGAGUGCUUGCACUUGACGACGACCGGCGAACGGGUGCGUAACGCGUAUAGAAUCUACCUUGUACAGGAGGAUAGCCCAGAGAAAUUUGGAUUAAUACUCCAUAAUGUUAUGUAGUGGCAUCAUUAUAUAAUUAAAGGUUUAUUGGUACAAGAUGACUAUGCGUCCUAUUAGUUAGAUGGUAAGGUAACGGCUUACCAUGGCAUCGAUAGGUAGGGGGUCUGAGAGGAUUAUCCCCCACACUGGUACUGAGACACGGACCAGACUCCUACGGGAGGCAGCAGUGAGGAAUAUUGGACAAUGGGCGAGAGCCUGAUCCAGCCAUGCCGCGUGCAGGAAGACUGCCCUAUGGGUUGUAAACUGCUUUUAUACAGGAAGAAACCUACUUACGUGUAAGUAGCUGACGGUACUGUAAGAAUAAGCACCGGCUAACUCCGUGCCAGCAGCCGCGGUAAUACGGAGGGUGCAAGCGUUAUCCGGAAUCAUUGGGUUUAAAGGGUCCGCAGGCGGUCAAUUAAGUCAGAGGUGAAAUCUCACAGCUUAACUGUGAAACUGCCUUUGAUACUGGUUGACUUGAGUCAUAUGGAAGUAGAUAGAAUAAGUAGUGUAGCGGUGAAAUGCAUAGAUAUUACUUAGAAUACCGAUUGCGAAGGCAGUCUACUACGUAUGUACUGACGCUCAUGGACGAAAGCGUGGGGAGCGAACAGG
rnacentral:rRNA from 1 species